rnacentral:tRNA from 1 species
GGGGGUUAUAGUUUAA